GGCUCUUACAGUACCUGUGGACCUGUAGAGACAGGAGUCCACACUGGAACAGGCUUCCUGGCAGGAAUUGUGACCCUGCAGAGGACCUAUGCUGGAAUAGCCUGCUCUUGCAGGACUGCAGUCUGUGGAAGGGAUGCAUGCUGUAGCAAUUUGCAGAGAGCUGCAGCCCAUAGGAAGGGCUCAUGUUAGAGGAGCUCAUGGAGGAAUGCCUCAUGUGGGAGGGACCCCACACUGGAGCAGGGGAAGAAUGUGAGGAGUUUUGGCCCUGAGAUGGAUGGAGUGGCAGGGACAGCAUGUAAUGAAUGGACUGCAGUCCCCCAUUCCCCAUCUCCCUGUGCUGCCUGGGAGGAGGUGGAAAACUGGGGAAGGAAGCUAAGGCCAGGAAGAAGAAAAGUAUAGGGGGAAGGUGAUUUUAGCUUUGGUUUUAUUUCUCAUUAUGCUACUCUGAUCUGGUUGGUAAUGAAGUGAACUGAUUUCCCCCAAAUUGAGCCUGUGUUGCCUCUGACAGUAACAGGUGAGUGAUCUUUCCGUGUCCUUGUCUUGACCCACCACUUUUCCUUAUAUUUUCUCUCCCUUGCCCAGCUGAGCAAGGGGAGUUAUAGAGCAGCUCUGGGGGGCAGCUGGCACCCAGCCAGCAUCAGCCCACCAGACUCCAUUAGAAAUGGCAUUGUCAGGGUGAAUGACAUGACAUGCACUACUGAUGAUGCAGACCGGAGAAUAAACAUUGUUUAGUGACUCUUCUGUUAAGUAAAAUGCAAACCAUGUUGUUUCUCAGAAACAUUUAAGCUCUCCCCAACCCCAUGAUUCAUACCUGCUGGAAAGAUCUAUUAGGUUCCUAGCCAAGUCACCCAAAUGCUCUCAGCUUGCCUUUCCUGACCAUUUGCUUCAAAAGGAUUUAAUCUGAGCAGUGCAGGUGCUUGUAGCUGGCAGAAUGUUCUAGUUACUAUCUCUAACUAAAGGAGAGAAACAGGCACUUCCAGAGCUUGGCUCUCCCCAUCCUAAACAAACAGAAAAACAGCAACCAAAGCGAGCAGUCUCUCCAGCUGCGGGCUCCACUGAUGAGAGAGGGAACAUGUGGCAGCCAGCAUAAAUUUAACUCAAUGUCCAACAAGUGAGAUGCGACCUACUAUCUCCUGAUGUCAGCCACUCUUGUUCCUUUCCUUUCCCCAGGGAAAAGUCAAUAGGGAUGCAGCUAAUUUCUUGGUACAGUGAGGUGCCAAGACCAACCUGGAACAGGCGACCGAGCUGUGGAGGGCCCUGCCCACAGCCAUUCCUGCGGCUGGAGGCUGGAAGGGCCUCCCUUCCCUGUGGCAUCUACUCAUCCAUUCAGGUGGCUUUUGAGUAACAUGAGGGCAGAUGUUGGAGACUGGCUUCAGCAGUCAGGAAAGGCAUCUUUAUCUCCUGACAGGCCUACAGAGCUUGAACCCACAAAAACAACAAUAAUGAGGAAGCUUUCAAAAAUAAACAGACCAAAUGGGUGCAUCUUCCUUUUCCCAGGGCCUCUGUGCCAGAUACUAAUGCUUAGCUACUGAGCUGAAUCAACAGUUGCAGCUAUAAACAGCUAUGUUAGGUUUGCUAAGGUGGACAAUCCCCCCUCACAACUGUUGUUAAAAAGGCCAAACAAGUGUGAAGGACGGGUGUCCUUUCAAGGAAGAAUUCAUAUAUUCCCGAAGCAAAUGGUCCAACAUUGAGGGAGCUAUCCAGUAUCUGAGGGAAUUAACCAUGCUGAAGGUGAUCUAUAAUAACCUGCAUGACAACCAGCACCCAAAGACCAGAUGAGCUGUGGGGCAGGUGGCCUGCAUGGUGGAAGUUGUACAAAAUGCACCAGUGUCAUCACCCGCACUCUGGUGAUAACAUCUGGACAGACAUGGUGGCACCAACUACAGAUGAACUGGCCAGACACCUUUGAGAGUAUGAAGAUUAUCUCACUUUCCACGUAGGGCUGUGGACAGACUGACCAAAAAAACCAUCUGAGCAAGCUGAGGAACAUGGGUCAUCCUCUCACACUCCUGCCAAGGCCUCAGCCGUGAAGAGUCAGCAUCGGUCUGUUCAUGAGAAGGGUGCCAGUGUUGCACACAAAGUACAAUCCUGUGGUUCUUCUUGUGUGACCGUGAGGAAGUGGGAUGGUAAACCUACCUGGAGACCAGAAAGUUAGAUCCAGGAAUUGAAAGGAAAAUGACAGUCCAAAAGCAUCCAUCCAGGAAAAUUACUGCUCGAGUGUGUUGAGUGGAGUAAAAGAGCUCAUUAUACCUUUGACCCCGACAAAGAGGCUUUGUCUGUUUUGCAGUUACAAAUAUUGAGUAAUGAAGACUUCAACCAGGAAUCAACUUGGCCCUGCCUUUGGCCAGGUGGAGGAAAGGGACAACUGGGUUUUCUGGACUGUGGGGUUCACAUGGCCUGCCUCAUCAGCCCCACAGGAGGAUAAAUCCCUAGUAGACAUCUGCACACAGUGUUCCCUAGUGCCAUCAGACAAUAAGGGGCAGAAUCCACCUGCAGUUCUUGAGUGACAGAAAGAUCCCAAAAAUUGCCUGGGUUGUAGGCUGAGGUAAGUUUAACUGGGAAUGACUGGUAAAAGCAUCCUACUCUGACUGGUCUGUAGUCUCUGUGCAUCAUUGGCAUAGACUCUUUCAGAGGAGAGUACUUCAAAGCCCCAAGUGGGUACCAGUGGGUGCACAGAGAAGAUUAAACAGCUGUCUAGCUGUCUAAACACCAGACCUUACCUGGUCUUGCAGAUGAUCUGUCUGCGGUUUGGUUGUUGUGUUUAAAGAGGAGCAGAUUCCUAUUGCUACCAUGACAAUGCAUGGGUGACAAUACUGCACCCGUUGAGAUUCCCUGGUUUCCAUCCUCACACUGAUCUGGUGACUGGACAGCCCAGGAAUGAUCAGCAGGACCUGCUCACCCCUUGGCCUCCUCACCAUAAGCCAGUGCAGAAGUUUAAGAGAGCGGAGACUAACAGUGGACAAUGGUGGCCUGAAAGGAGUCACACUGUGGUGAGUGCUGCUGAACCAGACAAGCUGGAAAUCCAAAAGAAGCUGGAGUCAAAGGCUGCCAAAUGACACACAACCAUUUAUAUUGCCAAUGAGAUGCCAGAUCUGCUUAACCCCGUGGUUUCCAAAGAAAUGCUUGCUGCUGUCUUUCCUCAAUAUUAUGAAAUGUGAUGGUUAGAGAUCUGCAAAGAGAGCAGCAAUCAUUUCCAGGCUGAAUAAAUCCUUUAACGGCAUUCUUUGCUCAGGAUUGUUUGAUGUGGUUCCAACAGCUUCAAACACAGGAGGCAUCCAAACUGCUGGAAGUUGAAAAGGCUGAAACUCCACCAUCGUGGGAGUCCAGAGUGGCAGUGGGGCAGCGCACCAGUACCAAAGAUGCACACACACAGAGUCCUUCUGCUCUCCUCCUCUCCAACCCUCUUGGAGCAUCUUUCCUAGGGGCUGGGGCUGCUGGAGGGGCCAGCAGGGUGG